rnacentral:rRNA from 1 species
AGUGAACGCUGGCGGUAGGCCUAACACAUGCAAGUCGAACGGCAGCACAGUAAGAGCUUGCUCUUACGGGUGGCGAGUGGCGGACGGGUGAGGAAUACAUCGGAAUCUACUUUUUCGUGGGGGAUAACGUAGGGAAACUUACGCUAAUACCGCAUACGACCUACGGGUGAAAGCAGGGGAUCUUCGGACCUUGCGCGAUUGAAUGAGCCGAUGUCGGAUUAGCUAGUUGGCGGGGUAAAGGCCCACCAAGGCGACGAUCCGUAGCUGGUCUGAGAGGAUGAUCAGCCACCUGGAACUGAGACACGGUCCAGACUCCUACGGGAGGCAGCAGUGGGGAAUAUUGGACAAUGGGCGCAAGCCUGAUCCAGCCAUACCGCGUGGGUGAAGAAGGCCUUCGGGUUGUAAAGCCCUUUUGUUGGGAAAGAAAAGCAGCAGGUUAAUACCCCGCUGUUCUGACGGUACCCAAAGAAUAAGCACCGGCUAACUUCGUG